AGAACUGCACAAAGGGUUUUCGACAAGUCUGCUUAUUUCGGUUAUGACAGCUUCGGUUACGGCAGAUUAUAUAUCGUCUCAUAUUAUGGGGCUUGAUCCGGUGUUCCGAUUUCAGUUGGAACAGACGCUUCCCCAGAAUUAUUAUUGGAUGAUCCUUGUGUUGGGAGUGAUUUUAGGUCUGAUGGGAGCGCUCUAUAAUAAGGUAAUGCUAAAAGCGCAGGAACUUUAUAAAAGACCGAAAUUUUUAAACGAGACGACUCGUCUUAUGAUCGCGUUUUCGGCGGCGGGAGUGCUUGGACUUUGCAUGCCUUCGGUACUUGGAAGCGGAGGGGAUCUGAUCGUUGCUUUGACGGAUAAAGAGAUGGUGUUGAAAGUUGCGAUCAUUACGUUUCUUGUGAAAUUUCUGUUUUCGGCAGUCAGUUUCGGAUCCGGCGCUCCUGGCGGAAUUUUUUUUCCGCUUCUGAUAUUAGGCGCAAUGGUCGGCGGAAUCUUCUCUAUGACAGGAACGGAAAUCUUCGGUUUAGAUCCGAUGUAUAUGAAUAAUUUCGUUUUACUGGCAAUGGCCGGAUUUUUCACGGCGAUCGUUCGUGCGCCGAUCACAGGGAUCAUACUUCUGUUUGAGAUGUCCGGCUCGGUAAGUCAGAUGCUUUCUCUUGCACUUGUUUCGGUGACUGCAUAUGUCACUGCAACUUUGGUAAGAUCUGAACCGAUUUAUGAAAGCCUUCUGGCAAAUCUGCUGCGAAGAGAAAAAGAGGAAGAACAGCCGGUUUAUGCGGGCGGGCAGAAAGUGCUGAGCGAGUUUGUGAUCAUGGGAGGUUCUGCUCUUGAAAACCGCACCGUCAUGGAAAUAGAUCUGCCGGACAACUGCCUUCUUGUCGCGGUAGACAGAGGCGGAAAAGAGUUUAUUCCGAAAGGAAAAACAUGCCUUAUGGCAGGCGAUAAACUGACGGUUAUGGCAGAUGAACGAGAUGCGGGAUAUGUACAUGACAAAAUGAAAAACUUAUGUUAUACUUCAUUUUAGGUCAGCAUUGAUUUUAAAUAGUUAAUGUGAAGAAAACAAAGGAGAGUACGAUAUGAAAAGAGUACUGUUAAAGCUGAGCGGAGAAGCGCUCGCGGGAGAUAAAAAAACAGGUUUUGACGAGGCAACCUGUGUACCGGUUGCAAAACAGAUUAAAGAUUGUCUGGGAUCUAACUCUUCGUGAGAGGACACCGCGUGGUGGGUAGUUUGACUGGGGUGGUCGCCUCCAAAAGCGUAACGGAGGCUUCCAAAGGUACCCUCGGGUUGGUUGGUAAUCAACCUCAGAGUGCAAUGGCACAAGGGUGCUUGACCGGGAGACCAACGAGUCGAUCGGGUGCGAAAGCAGGGCAUAGUGAUCCGGUGAUCCCGCGUGGAAGGGUCAUCGCUCAAAGGAUAAAAGGUACUCCGGGGAUAACAGGCUGAUCGCUCCCAAGAGCUCAUAUCGACGGAGCGGUUUGGCACCUCGAUGUCGGCUCGUCACAUCCUGGGGCUGGAGAAGGUCCCAAGGGUUGGGCUGUUCGCCCAUUAAAGUGGCACGCGAGCUGGGUUCAGAACGUCGUGAGACAGUUCGGUCUCUAUCUAUCGUGGGCGUAUGAAAUUUGCGUGGCUCUGACACUAGUACGAGAGGACCGUGUUGGACAGACCUCUGGUUUACCGGUUGUACCGCCAGGUGCACCGCCGGGUAUCUAAGUCUGGAUUGGAUAAGUGCUGAAAGCAUCUAAGUACGAAGCCAGCCUCAAGAUGAGAUAUCCCUAGAGGGUCGUUGUAGACUACGACGUAGAUAGGCUACAGGUGUAAGGGCAGCAAUGUCGAAGCCGAGUAGUACUAAUAGCCCGAGACUUUCGAUC
rnacentral:rRNA from 1 species